UGGUUGACAAAACAGUUUUUCUGACUAAAGUCAGGGUUUGCUUUCACAGAAAUAUUUAAUAUUUGUAUACAAAAAAUUGUAAUGGCUAAAGCUUGCGUGAUUUAACUAUUGAACUCAGCUAUUUAGUGUUUGAUCGGUAAAUAUGGAAUGUACGCGCCAAGUUUUCGAAAACAUCGCACCAAAUGCCAGGCUGAAUCCUGCCAUAAGUAUCCAGGCUCUCGCUGUGCAUAUGAAGGGAAAUGCUGCCACACUACUCAAUGUGGUGUCUAAGCCCAAAAAAAUUACGCUCAUAUAGGCUUAGCUGGUUACUGGUUUAAUAAAGAAGCACUCGAAAUGCUAUACAUACAAAUAAUUUUUAUUUCAAUUACCU